CCAAAGUUUAACACCCAAAAUAAAAAAGACCGAAAUCUUAUUGUCAUUGUUGUUUCGAAAACACCAUGUGUUCUUCUGCGUUUGGAAUUUGAAACAGAACCACCAACUUUUAUUCAUUCCUUCAUCCGUACACACUUCUAAUUCAAAUCCUAAUCAUAAUCUAGGGUUCCUCUCUCUCUCUCAUGACUUCAGUUCUCAAUUAUUCCUCAAUUCAACUACCUUCUUCUCUCACCUUCAUCAUCACCAUCCUUAUUUGAGAUGAGUUCCAGCAAUUUGACUGGGUUCGUGUUAGCAGUUGUUUCCAGUUCUUUCAUUGGUUCCAGUUUCAUCAUCAAGAAAAAGGGUCUUCAACUCGCCAGAGUCAACGGUCCUAGUGCCAGUGUUGGUGGCUAUGGUUAUUUGCUUCAGCCUCUCUGGUGGGUCGGAAUGGUUACCAUGAUUGUUGGAGAGAUAGCGAAUUUUGUAGCAUACAUUUACGCCCCGGCUGUUCUUGUCACUCCAUUAGGUGCUUUGACUAUUAUUGUUAGUGCUGUCUUGGCACAUUUUAUCUUGAAGGAAAAGUUACAAAAAAUGGGCAUGCUGGGGUGUCUUAUAUGCAUUUUGGGGUCCACUAUUAUUGUACUCCAUGCACCGCAAGAGAAGUCGCUUAGUUCUGUACAACAGAUAUGGAAAUUGGCCAUUCAACCUGCAUUUCUCAUGUACACGGCCUCUGCAAUUGCCAUAACAUUGUUCUUGGUUUUGUAUUGUGCUCCUCGCUAUGGCCAAACUAAUAUUUUGGUUUAUAUUGGAAUUUGCUCUAUAAUUGGGUCUUUAACUGUUAUGAGCGUAAAAGCAAUUGGAAUUGCGAUAAAACUUACGCUAGAAGGUGCAAACCAGGUUCUCUAUUUUCAGACAUGGAUUUUUACAAUGGUUGCUAUCACUUGUAUCAUUGUCCAACUUAAUUACCUUAAUAUGGCAUUGGAUAACUUUAACACAGCAGUUGUUUCUCCAAUCUAUUACGCAUUGUUCACAGCUUUUACAAUAUUAGCCAGUGCAAUCAUGUUUAAGGACUAUUCUGGUCAAAGUAUAGGUAGUAUUGUUUCAGAGCUAUGUGGUUUCGUAACUAUUUUAUCCGGAACAUUUCUAUUGCAUAGUACAAGAGAGCCCGAUCCUCCGGUCAAUACAGAUUUAUACUCACCACUGUCUCCCAGAGUAUCUUGGUAUAUACAAGGAAACAAUGAAUCCUGGAAACAAAGGGAGGAAGAUGUAUCACCAUUUAAUUUAAUAGCAGUUAUACGGCAAGAUCAUUUCAAGUGAUUAGUGGCUUAAACCACAAGAAGUUUAGUCUAUUAUCCAUCCAUUGAUCAGCUAAACACAGUAUAUAUAUAUACUCUAUCAUCACACUGCUUGCAGAGAGGAGACAGUGCUGCCAUUUUUUGGAAUCUGUUCACUGGUUGCAUCUGAAAUGAAGGCUUGAGUGAUGUAGAAGCUAAACCAUGCAUGAUAUUUAGGAGUUCAUACUGCGUAUACAUACAAGUGCAUUUAUUUUUAAGUAUUUAUAUUUUUUUAUUUGUUUAUUUUAACAAAGGAAAGGAGUAAUUUUAUUUAUAAUUAUAG